rnacentral:lncRNA from 1 species
GGAAGGUCUUGAGUGGGGACAAAAAAAAUGUGCCAUCAAUAUUAAAAUCACACCAAGAGAACAUCCCCUUGGCUGGAGACAAUUCAAAGAGCCUCCCCUGGGAGAGGUCAUCCUAUCAUGGUCCUUGGUGGGAAAUGGCUGAAGAUAAACCUUCAUGGAGUCCAAAGUACAGGAAGGAAGUGACAAAGGACAGAAAGGAAGCAGAAGACACUGAGAAUCUACACCAAGGGAAGGGGCCCCAGGAACUGGAGGAAGGAGCAGAAAUGGAAGGAUCAAGGUACCACAAAGCCACCAUGUCACCUGGGAGCAGGAGAGUGGUCCUCACUCAGUGCGGCCCACACUGAACUGCACAAGAGUCUGUGGAUGAGAUGUUUCAGCCCAUGGUCAGCUGGCUCCAAGGCAGAAACAUCAUGGCAGAAGGGCGCAGUGAAGGAAAGUUGCUCACCUCAUGGCAGUCAGGAAGCAGAGAGGAACAGAGCCAGAGACGAAGGAGCCAG